CCCAGAACCCCACCUCCAGCCCAGGAGGCUCAGGAGGUUGCAUCCUGCGAGGGUCCCUACCAUGGCCUGGAUGCUGCUUCUGCUCGGGCUGCUCGCUUAUGGCUCAGGGGUAGAAGCUCAGACUGUGAUCCAGGAACCGUCACUGUCGGUGUCUCCAGGAGGGACGGUCACCCUCACCUGUGGACUGAGCUCUGGGUCAGUCACUACUUACAACGAACCCAGCUGGUACCAGCAGACCCCAGGCCAGGCUCCCAGAAAUGUUAUCUACAACACAAACACCCGCGCCUCUGGGGUCCCUGAUCGCUUCUCUGCCUCCAUCUCUGGGAACAAAGCCACCCUCACCAUCACGGGGGCCCAGCCCGAGGACGAGGCUGACUAUCACUGCUUGCUGUACCGGGCAGUGGUAGUUACAGCUGCACAGUGAGGGGAGCCCAUGGGG